rnacentral:rRNA from 1 species
CUACGGGUCGCUGCAGUUAAGAAUAAUCUACAAUGCGCGAAAGCGUGAUAGUUUGAGCCAGAGUGCUUUUCUAUUGAAAAGCUUUUGUCAAAUGUAAAAAGUUUGACGAAUAAGGACUGGGUAAGACUAGUGCCAGCCGCCGCGGUAAUACUAGCGGUCCAAGUCGCAGCCAUUUUUAUUGGGUCUAAAACAUCCGUAGCUUGCUUGAUAAGUUUCUUGUGAAAUUUUGCGUCUCAAGCGUGAAGCGCGCAAGAAGUACUGUCAAGCUAGAGACUGGGAGACGUAAGAAGUAUGUUCAAAGUAGCGGUUAAAUGUGUUAAUCUUGAACAGACUCACAAUUAGCGAAGGCAUCUUACGAGAACAGUUCUGACAGUAAGGGAUGAAGGCUAGGGUCGCGAAAGGGAUUAGAUACCCCGGUAGUC